UACGUAGGGUGCAAGCGUUUAAUCGGAAUUACUGGGCGUAAAGCGUGCGCAGGCGGUUGUGCAAGACCGAUGUGAAAUCCCCGGGCUUAACCUGGGAAUGGCAUUGGUGACUGCACGGCUAGAGUGUGUCAGAGGGGGGGUAGAAUUCCACGUGUAGCAGUGAAAUGCGUAGAGAUGUGGAGGAAUACCGAUGGCGAAGGCAGCCCCCUGGGAUAACACUGACGGCUC
rnacentral:rRNA from 1 species